CAACAGCGGUGAUAGCUUAAUCACUGACCCAUAACCAUUCGGGCUCAGUAGGCUAUCGCUUGAAUGAUAUUACAAGCUUUAUGCGUCUGUCUCGUCCUCAUAUUACAGCGUAGAACCGUGGCCAUGUUUACUAUAUUAUUAGACGAAGAAUCCAGCGAAACUGUUGCGAAAGACAACCGUUUGGAUAUAAUAAAGUCGGCUAAGAAGAUGGACGAAUUGUUAAAUCCGAAGGAUUUGCCUCGGAGUUCUACAGUGCCUCAUAAAAAGGCACCCCAGGUGUCCAAGUGGAUUUGCAGGAUUCGCAACAGCGAGGAGAAUAAUGGUAUUCAGGUUGUUAUUACGCUGCCAUCGGGACAUUUCAGCCACGCCACAACACCUGACAAUCCUGCGAAGGUAACGUCUCAAGACAGCAGGAGCAGGAGGAAACGUGCAGCACCAAGUUAUCCCCGCAGCCACCCCAUGUCAUGCCCCUCUUUGUGGACUUCGAGGAGAUCGGCUGGAUCAAAUCUCCACGGGGUUACAAUGCUUACCACUGCAAGGGCUCCUGUCCGUUCCCACUCUGAAAGAGUUUCCGUGCCACGAAUCAUGCGACUGUGCAGUCCGACAUGCACGCUCCAAUGCUCUACAACGACGAGGAUAACGUGGUUCUGAAACAGUAUGACGAUAUGGUUUCUUUUUGAACAGCUUUCAGAAAUCUUGAUUGAAUUGAAAAUAUUAACAGUA